rnacentral:rRNA from 1 species
CUUAACACAUGCAAGUCGAGGGGCAGCAUGGUCUUAGCUUGCUAAGGCCGAUGGCGACCGGCGCACGGGUGAGUAACACGUAUCCAACCUGCCGUCUACUCUUGGACAGCCUUCUGAAAGGAAGAUUAAUACAAGAUGGCAUCAUGAGUCCGCAUGUUCACAUGAUUAAAGGUAUUCCGGUAGACGAUGGGGAUGCGUUCCAUUAGAUAGUAGGCGGGGUAACGGCCCACCUAGUCUUCGAUGGAUAGGGGUUCUGAGAGGAAGGUCCCCCACAUUGGAACUGAGACACGGUCCAAACUCCUACGGGAGGCAGCAGUGAGGAAUAUUGGUCAAUGGGCGAGAGCCUGAACCAGCCAAGUAGCGUGAAGGAUGACUGCCCUAUGGGUUGUAAACUUCUUUUAUAAAGGAAUAAAGUCGGGUAUGCAUACCCGUUUGCAUGUACUUUAUGAAUAAGGAUCGGCUAACUCCGUGCCAGCAGCCGCGGUAAUACGGAGGAUCCGAGCGUUAUCCGGAUUUAUUGGGUUUAAAGGGAGCGUAGAUGGAUGUUUAAGUCAGUUGUGAAAGUUUGCGGCUCAACCGUAAAAUUGCAGUUGAUACUGGAUAUCUUGAGUGCAGUUGAGGCAGGCGGAAUUCGUGGUGUAGCGGUGAAAUGCUUAGAUAUCACGAAGAACUCCGAUUGCGAAGGCAGCCUGCUAAGCUGCAACUGACAUUGAGGCUCGAAAGUGUGGGUAUCAAACAGGAUUAGAUACCCUGGUAGUCCACACGGUAAACGAUGAAUACUCGCUGUUUGCGAUAUACGGCAAGCGGCCAAGCGAAAGCGUUAAGUAUUCCACCUGGGGAGUACGCCGGCAACGGUGAAACUCAAAGGAAUUGACGGGGGCCCGCACAAGCGGAGGAACAUGUGGUUUAAUUCGAUGAUACGCGAGGAACCUUACCCGGGCUUAAAUUGCAGAUGAAUUACGGUGAAAGCCGUAAGCCGCAAGGCAUCUGUGAAGGUGCUGCAUGGUUGUCGUCAGCUCGUGCCGUGAGGUGUCGGCUUAAGUGCCAUAACGAGCGCAACCCUUGUUGUCAGUUACUAACAGGUUCCGCUGAGGACUCUGACAAGACUGCCAUCGUAAGAUGUGAGGAAGGUGGGGAUGACGUCAAAUCAGCACGGCCCUUACGUCCGGGCUACACACGUGUUACAAUGGGGGGUACAGAGGGCCGCUACCACGCGAGUGGAUGCCAAUCCCAAAAACCUCUCUCAGUUCGGACUGGAGUCUGCAACCCGACUCCACGAAGCUGGAUUCGCUAGUAAUCGCGCAUCAGCCACGGCGCGGUGAAUACGUUCCCGGGCCUUGUACACACCGCCCGUCAAGCCAUGGGAGCCGGGGGUACCUGAAGUGCGUAACCGCGAGGAGCGCCCUAGGGUAAAACUGGUGACUGGGGCUAAGU